rnacentral:tRNA from 1 species
GGGCCGGACGCCGUGCUGGUUGCAGGCAGCGGACUCAUAAUCCGCCGGAGAAAUCCCGUCGUCGGUUCGAAUCCGACCCGGCCCA